AAACGCUUGAAGUCAGUCGCGACGUUCGGGACUCAGCCUUGCUUCUGCUUGGUGUACUUCCUGUUCGUUGGGUCAGCAUCAGUUUUGGUCGGUGGAAAAAGGUGUGGAGAACGUGGCAUCUUCGGGUGUGUUAUAGCUCUGCAUUGGAUACGCCGGCUGGGACUGAGGAACUCAGCAC
rnacentral:rRNA from 1 species